rnacentral:rRNA from 2 species
GACACGACUCUCGGCAAUGGAUAUCUCGGCUCUCGCAUCGAUGAAGAGCGCAGC